GACGAACGCUGGCGGCGUGCUUAACACAUGCAAGUCGAACGGAAAGGCCCUGCUUUUGUGGGGUGCUCGAGUGGCGAACGGGUGGGUAACACGUGAGUAACCUGCCCUUGACUUUGGGAUAACUUCAGGAAACUGGGGCUAAUACCGGAUAGGAGCUCCUGCUGCAUGGUGGGGGUUGGAAAGUUUCGGCGGUUGGGGAUGGACUCGCGGCUUAUCAGCUUGUUGGUGGGGUAGUGGCUUACCAAGGCUUUGACGGGUAGCCGGCCUGAGAGGGUGACCGGCCACAUUGGGGCUGAGAUACGGCCCAGACUCCUACGGGAGGCAGCAGUGGGGAAUAUUGCACAAUGGGCGGAAGCCUGAUGCAGCAACGCCGCGUGCGGGAUGACGGCCUUCGGGUUGUAAACCGCUUUCGCCUGUGACGAAGCGUGAGUGACGGUAAUGGGUAAAGAAGCACCGGCUAACUACGUG
rnacentral:rRNA from 1 species